UACGAAGGGGGCUAGCGUUGCUCGGAAUCACUGGGCGUAAAGGGUGCGUAGGCGGGUCUUUAAGUCAGGGGUGAAAUCCUGGAGCUCAACUCCAGAACUGCCUUGAUACUGAAGAUCUUGAGUUCGGGAGAGGUGAGUGGAACUGCGAGUGUAGAGGUGAAAUUCGUAGAUAUUCGCAAGAACACCAGUGGCGAAGGCGGACUCACUGGCCCGAUACUGACGCUGAGGCACGAA
rnacentral:rRNA from 1 species